CACCACCACCACCACCACCACCACCACCACCACCACCACCACCACAGCACUCAGCGUGGCACAGAAGGAACAGAGCCAGGCGGAAAACAAGGACUAAGAUCCACUGCCACUUCCAAAUAAGGCUACCACCACCAUGACCACCAUGACCACCACCACCACCAUGACCACCGCCACCACCACCACCACCACCACCACCACCACCACCACCACCACCACCACCACCACCACCACCACCACCACCACCACAGCACUCAGCGUGGCACAGAAGGAACAGAGCCAGGCGGAAAACAAGGACUAAGAUCCACUGCCACUUCCAAAUAAGACACCAGGAGGAGAGACAAUUCCGUGCAGUUUGUCAGUGAAGUAUUACAAAGGUGAGUUUUUAUGGCUACUGCAGUGAGAAGCUUUUUAUGGGAUGUCAAAUACUUUCUGGGGUGUGUGUGUGUGUGUGUGUGUGUGUGUGUGUGUGUGUGUGUGUGUGUGUGUGUGUGUGUGUGUUUGUUUUUUGUUUAAUAUUUUUUUCUUUCUUUUCUCAUCCCCUGGCUACUGCUGC